GGCGAGAUGGCCGAGCGGUCUAAGGCGCUACGUUCAGGAUUCCUGAAUAGCAUCAUGGCUUCAUGACUUUCGUAGUCCGAAAGGGCGUGGGUUCGAAUCCCACUCUCGUCA